GGGGGCUCCGGGAGACGGUCGGGGGGAGACGAUCGGGUCUUGCAGAGACAUCCGAGGCCUCAGGGAGGCAACGGGAGGAGGUGGAUCGGGGGCUCCAAGAGGCAGUCAGGGGGAGAUGGUCGUGGGCUCGAGGAGGUGGCUGGGGGCUCGGGGAGGCCGUCGGAGGCUUAGAGAGGUGGCCGAGGGAUCAGAGAAGCUGGAUUCGACGGUGCGGCAGGAGAAAAUAGG
rnacentral:lncRNA from 1 species